rnacentral:rRNA from 1 species
AAGUCUGAACCAGCCAUGCCGCGUGAAGGAUGAAGGUCCUCUGGAUUGUAAACUUCUUUUAUCUGGGGCGAAAACCGGCUUAUCUAAGCCAUUUGACAGUACCAGAAGAAUAAGCACCGGCUAACUCCGUGCCAGCAGCCGCGGUAAUACGGAGGGUGCAAGCGUUAUCCGGAUUCACUGGGUUUAAAGGGUGCGCAGGCGGAUUUAUAAGUCAGAGGUGAAAUCUGUAGGCUUAACCUACAAACUGCCUUUGAUACUAUAGAUCUUGAAUGUCGCUGAGGUCAGCGGAAUAUAACAUGUAGCGGUGAAAUGCAUAGAUAUGUUAUAGAACACCGAUUGCGAAGGCAGCUGACUAAAGGACGAUUGACGCUGAGGCACGAAAGCGUGGGUAGCGAACAGGAUUAGAUACCCUGGUAGUCCACGCCCUAAACGAUGAUUACUCGACAUUUGCGAUACGAUAGUAAGUGUCUGAGCGAAAGCAUUAAGUAAUCCACCUGGGAAGUACGACCGCAAGGUUGAAACUCAAAG